GCAUGGAUUACAUGGAAGCCGAAAGGGAGUCAUCGCUGGAGAAGGCAACUGCGGCAGGCUGAACACUGAACUGCAGCAACAAUACAGAAAAACUAAUUUUUGUCACUUCGCUCGAGCGGGGGCGUAAAAUGGGGCACUAAUUGAAACGACUUUGGGGUCACGGGUUCUUCAUUUGAAGGUGGCGAUCCUGCUUGUUUUCCCAUCCACGUAAUGGCUGCGAGGGGGCUGCCGGCAAGCGGAGGAAGAUCACAGGGACGACCGACUUGAACAUUUUACUCACUCUGCUUCACUCUUAACUGCAGGCUGCCAAGGCUGUGUCGAGCACAAAGACCUCGUGCCUUU